UCCUGGCUAGCUCAGCUGGUAAAGAAUCCACCUGCAAUGCAGGAGACCCUGGUUUGAUUCCUGGGUCAGGAA
rnacentral:tRNA from 1 species